CCUACGGGCGGCAGCAGUGGGGAAUAUUGGACAAUGGGCGAAAGCCUGAUCCAGCCAUGCCGCGUGUGUGAAGAAGGCCUUCGGGUUGUAAAGCACUUUCAGUGGGGAAGAAAGCCUUGGGGCUAAUACCCUCGAGGAAGGACAUCACCCACAGAAGAAGCACCGGCUAACUCCGUGCCAGCAGCCGCGGUAAUACGGAGGGUGCGAGCGUUAAUCGGAAUUACUGGGCGUAAAGCGCGCGUAGGCGGUCUGAUAAGCCGGUUGUGAAAGCCCCGGGCUCAACCUGGGAACGGCAUCCGGAACUGUCAGGCUAGAGUGCAGGAGAGGAAGGGAGAAUUCCCGGUGUAGCGGUGAAAUGCGUAGAGAUCGGGAGGAAUACCAGUGGCGAAGGCGGCCUUCUGGACUGACACUGACGCUGAGGUGCGAAAGCGUGGGUAGCAAACAGGAUUAGAUACCCCGGUAGUC
rnacentral:rRNA from 1 species